rnacentral:rRNA from 1 species
UACGUAGGGUGCGAGCGUUAAUCGGAAUUACUGGGCGUAAAGCGUGCGCAGGCGGUUUUGUAAGACAGUUGUGAAAUCCCCGGGCUCAACCUGGGAACUGCAUCUGUGACUGCAUAGCUAGAGUACGGUAGAGGGGGAUGGAAUUCCGCGUGUAGCAGUGAAAUGCGUAGAUAUGCGGAGGAACACCGAUGGCGAAGGCAAUCCCCUGGACCUGUACUGACGCUCAUGCACGAAAGCGUGGGGAGCAAACAGG